rnacentral:rRNA from 2 species
UAGCAUAUCAAUAAGCGGAGGAAAAGAAACCAACAGGGAUUGCCCUAGUAACGGCGAGUGAAGCGGCAACAGCUCAAAUUUGAAAUCUGGCGCAAGCCCGAGUUGUAAUUUGUAGAGGAUGCUUCUGGGUAGCGACCGAUCUAAGUUCCUUGGAACAGGACGUCAUAGAGGGUGAGAAUCCCGUAUGUGACCGGCCCGCACCCUUUACGUAGCUCCUUCGACGAGUCGAGUUGUUUGGGAAUGCAGCUCUAAAUGGGAGGUAAAUUUCUUCUAAAGCUAAAUACCGGCCAGAGACCGAUAGCGCACAAGUAGAGUGAUCGAAAGAUGAAAAGUACUUUGGAAAGAGAGUUAAAAAGCACGUGAAAUUGUUGAAAGGGAAGCGCCUGCAACCAGACUUCGCGGCAGUGUUCCGCCGGUCUUCUGACCGGUUCAUUCUCUGUCGCGAGGCCAUCAUCGUCUGGGCCCGCCGGAUAAGACCUUAGGAAUGUAGCUCACCUUCGGGGGAGUGUUAUAGCCUAGGGUGAUGCGGCGAGGCUCGGGCGAGGUCCGCGCUUCGGCAAGGAUGAUGGCGUAAUGGUUGUCGGCGGCCCGUCUUGAAACACGGACCAAGGAGUCUAACAUCUAUGCGAGUGUUCGGGUGUCAAACCCCUACGCGUAAUGAAAGUGAACGGAGGUGGGAACCGCAAGGUGCACCAUCGACCGAUCCUGAUGUCCUCGGAUGGAUUUGAGUAAGAGCAUAGCUGUUGGGACCCGAAAGAUGGUGAACUAUGCCUGAAUAGGGUGAAGCCAGAGGAAACUCUGGUGGAGGCUCGCAGCGGUUCUGACGUGCAAAUCGAUCGUCAAAUUUGGGUAUAGGGGCGAAAGACUAAUCGAACCAUCUAGUAGCUGGUUCCUGCCGAA